rnacentral:rRNA from 1 species
CCCCUAGAUGUUCUGGGCCGCACGCGCGCUACACUGAACAGUUCAACAAGUCUUAACCUUGGCCGAUAGGUCUGGGUAAUCUUUGAACGCUGUUCGUGAUUGGGAUAGACCUUUGCAAUUAUGGGUCUUCAACGAGGAAUUCCUAGUAAACGCAAGUCAUCAGCUUGCAUUGAUUACGUCCCUGCCCUUUGUACACACCGCCCGUCGCACCUACCGAUUGAGUGAUCCGGUGAAUUAUUCGGACUGCAACGCAACCAGUUCCUGGAUGCAGUUGCGGAAAGUUUUGUGAACCUCACCACUUAGAGGAAGGAGAAGUCGUAACA